AUCUGUCCACCGCGCCACCCGCAUGCGGUUACAGGUUUUUCCAUGCCACGCUAUUUGUUGUCCACGUAACGCGACCUAAAAGGUUGUUCCCCUCAUCUCUCAUCUCUCCACGCCUCACGACCUACCUAAAGGCGAGGGCGCCGCCGCCGCAACCCCGACCGGAGAUGCUCCAGCGUUUUGACGCGCACGGCCGUCCCCCGCCGGCAUCUGCGCCCCGUACGCCGGCAUGCUUCGGGAUUUCCCGGCUUGCGUCGCCUGUGGAUCGAGGAGCGGGAGGCCCGGAGCGCCUGUCAUCCUUCAGAAAUUCCCCAUGGCAGAGACGGUGCGAUGGUAGCUGACUUAUAUGGUCGGCCUCUGUCGAUGUGUAACGGCAAACUGGUCCGGUGAGUUGAUCUGACUGAUGGGAAGUACGGUGCAUCGCCGCCCUGCUCCGGUAAAUGUUCUAUGUAGACUCCAGGCAGGCAGUAUAGUUCUCGUAGAUCUGUUCGAGGAGCAUCCCUCUAUGGCGUUGACCGCCACAGAUCUGAAGGUACCGGUGGGCGACUCAGAUCUGCAAGGAGACGUGCGGACCUCCAUUACUAGACCCACGGCAAGUGUCUGAUGCAUGCUAUCGGCGAUGUGAUUCAGCGAUGUAAUUUUGUGCUAAUGAUGCGGCUGCGGUGGCACGUUGGCCCGGAUCUAGCUUUCUCAUGUACCCAUCCCUGCCUGGUGCAAUUGUUAGUGAUGCCGCUGCAAAGCCCGGCCUAGAUCUGUUAUAAUAUAUGUUGGUCUUUGCUGAUGAAGGCAGGAGUCUGCUCAGAUGCGUGAUACAGGAGGAUGACCUCGGCUUGCAAGUUUGUUUGGUGUGCAUUGGUUGUAGUUAUACUGCCUCGAGGGCCUUGGAAGCACCAGGAUGAUGCGAUGGUUGCCAGAGGAGAUCAAUUGCUUCACUUGAAGGUUGGGCAGGCCGUUGAUAAAACAGCACCAAGUUAAGUUGAAUGUUUUGUCGAUAAGUCAAGUUACUAAUUGAUUAUUAUGUCUGACGACUUAAACUUGUCUGUGACGGCUGUUCAGGUAAUUAGUUGAAUUAUGUACAUUGUGCUGCUAGCCGUUGUACAAUAAUUAUUGGGAGUUAUAAUGUGUACCAUUGAAAUUUUGUUGUAUCUGCUAUACAUGUCUAUUAUUUCAAAAUAAGCUUUUCAUAUUCAUGAUAUGCAAUUGUAAUAUUUAUCAUGGAAAUUUUUGGUGUGCACUGUUUGAUUAAACGGUGGCUUAGAAAUUUAUACAACUAGCAAAUUUAACACAGAACAAUAUUGCUAUCAUACAAUUGUAGUAUUUUAUAUGAGUAGCUAUUGAGCUAGUCAUGGACACGAGUGCGUGGAAGUUAGCUAUCCAAGUGCUAGAACCAUGAGUUGGUUUCGAGACCUUAUGCGUUUCAGCUCUACCCUACACCAACUUGUACUAAAGGCUCUGUUGUUGUUGUUACACAAUCAUCAUAAUUUCUAUGUGUGCAGCCACUAGAUAGUUAUUAUGUGAAAUUUCUAGUGUAUAUCAUUGCAAAUUUAGUUGUACUUGCUAUCGAUGUCUAUAGUUCUAUAUUGAUGAGAAAAAUGUUGUACCGAUUCAUAAUAUGCAAUUCAAAAUCUCAUCAUCGAAAAUUUUGUAUACAUCAUUUGCCAAAAUGAUGGCUUGAACAUGGUUACUUGUUAUUCAUGUAACUAGCAGAAUUAACCACAAAACUAUACUGCUGUUGUACAAGAUAAUGAUUGUGCAGUUAUCAUACAUUUACCGUUGAUUUUCUAUGGUAUUGAUUUUUUUUGCGUUAUGUCUAUACAAUUAGUUGUACACAAUUAAUUUUUCUAUACCAGUACGUAUGAAUUAUCUUUCUAUACUAGUAAUGCCUAGGACCACCUCCUACCACUAAUUUUUUAAUCGGUUGAGCAAUAGUACUCCAUUAUACGUCCCUAUUUCUAUAAUUGAUUUGUUCAUCUGAGAACUUUAUUCUGCAGGUACGCAUCGGACUCGAUGCCCUUUAUCCCUGCGUAACAUACAAUUGAAGGGCCUGAAAAACUAGAGAUGGGAAGGAUUUCACAGAAGAAAUUCGAGACUUUCAAGAGUUUUUUUUUGAGGCAUUUCAUUAUUUAGAAAUGAUGUUAUUCAAGUGUUAACAUACACAUGUUCCAGGAUCUCAACAUACUGUUUGGGAGCAGAAAAUGAGUAAGCCAAACAUUAAAAAGUAUGCCUUUAAAUCGAGGAUAGGUUUAAUAUGUUUUGUUCAAAGUCAAGUCACUACUUUAUCUCCAGACCUAUAAACAAUAGGUCUCAAUUCGGGAGGAAGAACCGGUAUUGUGGUCAGCCCAUGGUAUGUGCUGCUGCAGUGUAAUCUAGGUGUAUUGGAUGAUAAAACAUGUAUAUGAAAUGUUUAAUUUUGCUCA